rnacentral:rRNA from 1 species
CCUACGGGUGGCAGCAGUGGGGAAUAUUGCACAAUGGGGGAAACCCUGAUGCUGCGACGCCGCGUGAGCGAUGAAGUAUUUCGGUAUGUAAAGCUCUAUCAGCAGGGAAGAAAAUGACGGUACGUGACUAAGAAGCCGCGGCUAACUACGUGCCAGCAGCCGCGGUAAUACGUAGGGGGCAAGCGUUAUCCGGAUUUAUUGGGGGGAAAGGGAGCGUAGACGGCUGUGCAAGCCAGAUGUGAAAGCCCGGGGCUCAACCCCGGGACUGCAUUUGGAACUGUGUGGCUGGAGUGUAGGAGAGGCAGGCGGAAUUCCUGGUGUAGCGGUGAAAUGCGUAGAUAUUAGGAAGAACACCAGUGGCGAAGGCGGCCUGCUGGACGAUGACUGACGUUGAGGCUCGAAAGCGUGGGGAGCAAACAGGAUUAGAUACCCCGGUAGUC